GACGAACGCUGGCGGCGUGCUUAACACAUGCAAGUCGAACGGAAAGGCCCUGCUUGCGGGGUACUCGAGUGUCGAACGGGGGAGUAUCACGUGUGUGUUCUGUCCUGCACUUCGUGAUAAGCCUGCGGGACUGUGUGUCAUAUCGGAUAGAAGCCCUUUUUAUUGUUAGGGUGGGAAAGUUUUUUCGGUGUGGGAUGGGACCGCUGCCUAUCUGCUUGUUUGUGGGGUAAUGGCCUACCAAGGCGGCGACUGGUAGCCGGCCUGGGAGGGUGGACGGCCACAUUGGGAAUGGGAUACGGCCCAGACUCCCAAGGGAGGCAGCAGGUGGGAAAAUUGCACAAUGGGCGCAAGGCUGAUGCAGCGAAGCCGCGUGGGGGAUGAAGGCCUUUGGGUUGUAAACUCGUUUCGCUCGGGGAGAAGCUGUUUGUGACGGUAACUAGAUAAGAAGCACCGGCUAACUACGUG
rnacentral:rRNA from 1 species